CGAUAAAACAGUUGGCCGUUUACCGGUUGUAUCAAACUGAGAUUAUUUUUGAUUCAGGGCCGUUCUAAGGAAUCCGACCAACUUUAUUGACGUCUAUGCGGGGCCCGUAAGCACUUGUGACCGUGUCGUUUGAGUUCUUACGAAUUUUUUGUUUUUUCUAGUUUUUCUGUAAAGAACAUUUUAAAUUAAGCAGUUUCAUGAAAAAAAUUCCUGGAUGGUCCAUUAAUGAACCCCAAAAAAAAACUCACAAAUUGUGAGGAUAGUCCCAUUUUGAUGCUAAAUUCCGAGCGGUGUUGCCAAACUGCGUAAAACGUUCUAAGUUGACGAAAAUUGUUUGCUUGGACCAUACUAACACAAACAAACUAACUCAAAAUUAAGCGAAAGGCAAAUAGCGCAUACUACGCGGCAACGCCGCAUUCUGCUGAUAAAUAAUCCGCCAUAUCGACGCGUUAUAUAAUCCCAAUCAAUGGACGACGUUAGAAAAGAUGCUCAAACUUUUGCGAAAAACCCAAUUAUGAUGCAACUUAGCGACAAUUUUGCAUGUGGAAUUAUGGAUUGUUGAUACUUAAAGCACGAUUAAGUAACAGACAGCAUCAGAUAAUCUCAUUUUCUUUCAUAAUAGGUGGCUUUGGAAAAGCGAAUUUCCAAAGUUUCUAAGUGUUUUUUGGCUUGAUUUAUGGGUCAUCCAGGAAUUUCUUUCUAAAAUAAAAUCUAUAAUUUGAAGUGUUCUUUAAGCAAAAAAAGGAAAUGCUAAAACUUCGGAGGGACUCAAACGACAGAUCUCAGAUCUAAAAGGCGUUUUUGAAAUUUGCCCAUGUAAGAAAAACGCAUUUUCUGGUGAACAUUUUUUGCUGGAUCGUGAGGUACGGUGUUGGAUCGUAACAAUUUAUUCCACGACACGCAACAAUGUCGUCGAUUGAGGUUCCUGGGGCGGACUUCAUCCACAUUCUCACAGGUAGCAGCACCAACCAGAAUUAACCAACAUCUCAUCCCAAACGAAGAACUCUUGCCAUAGAAUGCCUUGUGUGGGUAUGCGACAGAAAGCUACCUGAAGAAGCUUCAGGCUAGGGAUGCCACAUUCUGUCUGCUGGACUGUUCCAAGCAUCUGUGAUUUUUAGGCAGAUGUUAUUUUGGCCCAUGAUAAAUAUUGGCUUGUACCUGAAACCGGGCUGAAGUGUAUUUUGAGUCCAGUCAGAUUACACUUUAAAAGGCUUGUUUCGGGCACUGAAUAUAUGAUGGUAAAAGAUUAUUGGAAGUUGUUCGGAAGGAUGUCAGAAUAUUGAGACUAUAGUUUGUGCUCGAUUUCCUGCUGUGGAACAUUGUUUAUAAACAAUUAUUUAUAAAUAAUUAAAGAAAGUGCGAAA